UAUCGUGGAAGCAAAGCCUACGUCGGAAUCCAAAUUCCCGACCCGAUUCCGCUUCUCUCAAGAAUAUUGAUCUUGUUCUCGUCACUAAUCAAGGGGCUGUGGUGAUUUCUGUGAAGAAUUUAUCAGGGUUUGUGUCCACCGACAAGGAUGGUAAUUGGCUUUGCACCGAUGGAAAUCACCAUAAAACCGACCUUGUGCCGAACCCUCUGUAUGCUAAUUCUCAUUUUUUAUUAGGAAACCUUCAAUUUACCUUGUUGCGUAGAGGAAGCCAGGCAAUUGGUUCCUAUACUUGAACAAAGGGGAGUUGUUCUUCCAGAAGGAUAUGUGUCCUUUAAAGUCGUAUGCCAAAAUCCAAAUUUCCGAGAAAUGCACUAACGAAGCCCCUCGGAAAAGUAACAGAAGAGAAAAAGACGGGACAGGUAACAUGUAUUGUGUAUUUCUUCUUGGCCACCGGCUACUGUGAUCACUGCAUCCGAAGUGCUGGAGCUUGCUGAAACGAGAGCAUCGCUCUCCCUGUACGGCGUCAUACUGCCGGAAACUCUCAAGCCAUGUGCUCUCCGGCGUCUCGGAUUUCCCGAUGCCACCGCAUUCCGUGCUAAGGUACACGAUUGCUCUGAUGCCCCGUCAACUUUUCUAACUUUUCUAAGUUACAUCUUUAAUCGCCGAUGAACUCAAAGAAUGAUGUUGAUGGCACCAUGUUACAUGCUUUUGAAGACCAAAGUUGGCUGGUAUGUUUUAAAGAAAAUUUGUCUCUCUAAGAAGACAGAGAAUUUCAAGAACAAAGAGUGCCACGAGAUGAGUUUAAUUCCAAAGCUACGCCAUCCGUAUAUAAUUGAAUUUAAAGAUGUUUGGGCUGACUAGGGAAACUGUAUAUGCAUUGUGACCAACUACUGCGAAGUUGGAAAUAUAUUUGAAAGUACAAAGAAGGUCGUGAGGAAGAAGGAUAUCGCUCCACUGAAGGAAGGACUGUGUCUAUAUAUUAUGUAGUUUAUUUUUUAAUGUAAGUUUCAAUUUGAAUUAUUGACUCGGUGUAUUUUGUAUGUGUAAUUGUACGAUAUAUUGCAAUGCAAUUUUAUUUCGGAAAUCAUUGUUUAG